UGAGGAACAUGACCUUCGGCGGGGGAUAGCCGGCCCAACGGCCGGGUAAUACCGUGUACGACCACAUGGGGACAUCCCUGAGUGGUGAAAGCAGCAAUGCGCCGAUGGAGUGCCUCGCGGCCUAUCAGCUAGUUGGCGAGGUAACGGCUCACCAAGGCGACGACGGGUAGCUGGUCUGAGAGGAUGGCCAGCCACAUUGGGACUGAGACACGGCCCAGACUUNUACGGGGAGG
rnacentral:rRNA from 1 species